rnacentral:lncRNA from 1 species
UUUGAAAGUCCUCUCUAAACCCCACAGGGAAUAUUAAGAUAUUUAAAGGCAAAGGAUAUGGUGCAGCAAGAGAAAGAGGACUCCUGAAAUCCUAGCCAUGGGAGAGCCCCUCGGCCCUCAUGGGCCCUGAGACCAGUACAGGGAGCUACCUGGAGUCCAUAUGACAGCACUGUUCCAGAAAGUUAGGUUGCACUGGGUCCCACACACCACCCAAAAUCCAAGCAGCCACAGCACAGUGCCAUUUUGAGAGCCCAA